rnacentral:sRNA from 2 species
ACCUGAAUUGCAACCUUGAGAACGUUAUGGUAAUGGUGAGAUAUGGUCGAUGGCUAGGAGGUUGACAAAACUGGGGCCAACUAGAAUAUUGCUUUGCUGUCGUCGUCGUCUUCGUGGGGGUGUGGAAAGCGAGGAACCAAGACUGCAGUGACCAUCAGCGGUUGCUAACUGGUUUGGUCAGUAUCAAACUGGAAUUCCAUCAAUCGUUAAUUUGAUGAAACAACCUGGACAGAAGCGACUCAUAAGAACCAGAGAGGGAUUUUCUGCUGGAGAAUAGUCACAGUUACAGACCGGAGAAUCAAGAUCCAGAAACGCAGCAGAUGAAGCUGGAACAAUUAUUAAUAGUUGAGUUGCUUGUACUGUACUGUACCAUACGCAGCACUCGGAUAAUCCUUAUCAGAGAUACAGAUACACAAUAAAAAUACAGGAGGUAUCCCAGUGACGUAAUAUUACAUUCCUUCCCUGUGAGUUCGCCAUCAGUCUGCUCGAAGCAAACAUCUCACAUCAAAUACGGCUCUUGUCACGCAAAGCGAAGAGACAUUCGUUGCAGUUCAAGCUCUAGCUGGUUGUUUCAUUUCAGACUCUUCUAUUCUGUGUUGGCUCAUAGAUUAAUCUACUCUGCACCCCACCAUUUAAGAUGAUGUCUGGCCGACUCAAUAUCAAGCUUCUUCAAAGAUUGCUCCUAACUUUCAUAACCCCCAGCAUACCGAGGGCUUGUUACUCGUUUUGUUCGAGUCUAGGCAACUUCGAAAAAUACAGACAAAUUGGCCGGUGGCAAGCAAUAAGUCCUCGUAAAUAGUAAUGAUGAUAAACUGUCAAGCACCUGAUAUAUGCACACAGCCCACUCUCACGAUCCUGUCACCAGGCUCUAGCGAGAUAUUUUCUGAUCACUACUCUCCAACCCAGCGCCAAAAGAAAUAAUGCAGAGCUAAUGUACUCUCUGCCCCUCUCCCUUGACCUGAGUCGGUCCGUCCCCUGACAGCCAAAGACUUGUUCACGCGGGACUGGAAGCAGGGAAGUGUGAUAUGGCGUGGCGCUUCCGAGAACAGGCCUAGCCUGAGGUUGAUAGGUGGUUAUAAAACUACUUGUCCCGCGUUUCAGGACAAUAAUAAUUAACAAUGCUUGCUUCAGGACAGGAUAAUGAAUGAACGAAUUGCCCUUUGUCAUUCGUUUGUUAACCGGAGACCUGCAGAAAGAGAAGAAAUGAAAUUUCUUAUCUGCAAGUCUAACAGAACUUCAGGGAGAGAAGAAUGGCUGUGUCCUGGCUAAUUUUAGCGUACCUUGACCUAAUCAUGUGGGCAGGGCAUUAAAUUUGGCUUGGGAACAAAGUCCUGAUACGUCUUGGAAAUGGUGAUAAAACCCGUUUCAUUUCAGUUGGCCAAUUCCCAAAGGAUUUGGGGUUAUUAAGCUUGGGGGCAUGGUGCCUAACCUUUGGUUGCUAAAUUAGGGGUUCAAUCCCUAUGGGGUGUGGAAGUUAUCGGAGCCCUAGUAUUGUUUGGAUUUCUACGGAG